AUUGAACGCUGGCGGCAGGCCUAACACAUGCAAGUCGAGCGGAUGAAGGGAGCUUGCUCCUGGAUUCAGCGGCGGACGGGUGAGUAAUGCCUAGGAAUCUGCCUGGUAGUGGGGGAUAACGUCCGGAAACGGGCGCUAAUACCGCAUACGUCCUGAGGGAGAAAGUGGGGGAUCUUCGGACCUCACGCUAUCAGAUGAGCCUAGGUCGGAUUAGCUAGUUGGUGGGGUAAAGGCCUACCAAGGCGACGAUCCGUAACUGGUCUGAGAGGAUGAUCAGUCACACUGGAACUGGGACACGGUCCAGGCUCCUGAGGGAGGGCGCAGUGGGGAAUAUUGGGCAGUGGGCGAAAGCCUGGUCCAGCCAUGCCGCGUGUGUGAAGAAGGUCUUCGGAUUGUAAAGCACUUUAAGUUGGGAGGAAGGGCAGUAAGUUAAUACCUUGCUGUUUUGACGUUAACAACAGAAUAAGCACCGGCUAACUUCGUG
rnacentral:rRNA from 1 species